rnacentral:rRNA from 1 species
UGGUGGGUAGUUUGACUGGGGCGGUCUCCUCCUAAAGAGUAACGGAGGAGCACGAAGGUUGGCUAAUCCUGGUCGGACAUCAGGAGGUUAGUGCAAUGGCAUAAGCCAGCUUGACUGCGAGCGUGACGGCGCGAGCAGGUGCGAAAGCAGGUCAUAGUGAUCCGGUGGUUCUGAAUGGAAGGGCCAUCGCUCAACGGAUAAAAGGUACUCCGGGGAUAACAGGCUGAUACCGCCCAAGAGUUCAUAUCGACGGCGGUGUUUGGCACCUCGAUGUCGGCUCAUCACAUCCUGGGGCUGAAGUAGGUCCCAAGGGUAUGGCUGUUCGCCAUUUAAAGUGGUACGCGAGCUGGGUUUAGAACGUCGUGAGACAGUUCGGUCCCUAUCUGCCGUGGGCGCUGGAGAACUGAGGGGGGCUGCUCCUAGUACGAGAGGACCGGAGUGGACGCAUCACUGGUGUUCGGGUUGUCAUGCCAAUGGCACUGCCCGGUAGCUAAAUGCGGAAGAGAUAAGUGCUGAAAGCAUCUAAGCACGAAACUUGCCCCGAGAUGAGUUCUCCCUGAGACUUAGAGUCUCCUGAAGGAACGUUGAAGACGACGACGUUGAUAGGCCGGGUGUGUAAGCGCAGC